CGGGUGUGCCCAGUAGGCGGCCUCCUCGACCUUCGAGAGCUACGAAAGGAGGGGGAGGUGGCCGGUGGGAGUUUCGUAGCACCAGCCUUCCGGUACCCGCGGAGCAGGUGACUGUCAUCUGCUGUCAGAGAAACACAAAGGAAGUGGAUCACAUUAGCAAAAACCAAAUGAAGAUGCUCCAAAUGACAAAAGAACUGGAAGGCUACAGACCUUAAGAAAUUUCUGGAAUGUCAUUGGUCAGCCUCACAGUCCAGCACUGAACACAUGAACAAUUGUGGGCAUGAAUGCAGACGGAAGACCUAAGUUUGCGUUUAGGGAGAACUGCCCUGGAGACAGCUGGAGGAACCCAGCAGACGUGGCUGGGGAGGAGACUGCUGCUCUCGGCCUUGGAGUAAGAUCAAGGCCCAUCUGCGCUGCAGCCCAGCACACCAAGUUCGCCCAAAAGAUUCUGGUGGUUUUGCUUCAACACACAGAGGAAAGAGCAGGGCCAUUCUUUCAGCUGCCCUGUUGCCCUUCUUUGUUGCCAUUUGUCCUUUAGGAACCUAAAGAUAACGAUGGCGGUGAAGCCUGACCCUGGAAACCAGGCAAGAUUCCCAGAGAUAAACCCUCGGGAAGCAAGAAUACUGUCAAUGAAAAGAAACUGACCUUUCGCCUUCUGGAGUCACAGAAUUCCCACAAAUGCUGUGUCUUCAUCGGCUCUGGCAGGCUCUGCCACCACAGCCCCAGACUUUGACGCCAGUUCAUAAACAGCAUGGGACCUGCUGCUGGAGUCUCUGAGGAGGGGGCUGUACUAGAUAGAAGUCAGGACGUCUCCACCUCUAGCACCUCAAAAUACAGGACACCCCUCAUUUUCUUCCAGAAGCUAAUCCUCCCCCAGACUCACAAAGCUUUGAGAAAGCCCCUUUCGAGGGUUUUCUCUGACAAUGUGGUCUGGCCUGCUGCUGCUAAAGGUGCCUCAAGUGAGCCUUUAACCUGACAGAAACACAGUGUUCAAACUCUGAACCCAGAGCCUUUACAAGGAGCGCACAGCCUUGGAACAAGAGGCAGAAAGUCUCAGGAGAAGGAGAGGGUUUGAGCUGGGGUGAGGAGGAGUGGAUGAGAGAAGGCAAGUUUGUGUCUGUGACAGUAAGAGGUAUGUAUGAAGUGGGAAAUUCAUUAAAUUUCUGUUUAAGGUCACAAAAUUAACUAAUCUCUUUAAGUCUCAGGUUCCUCAGCAAAAUGAGAAUGUUAGUUUCAUUUUUUAAAUGCAAUAAACCAGGUCUUUUUUCCUUAGCAACGGCUUUCCUACAGGACCCUAAAAACCUCCAAGCAUCACAUAAGCCACUAGAACAAUGGUUUCAACCUUGGCUGCACAGAAAAAUCACUUGGGAAGCUGUUAACAAUGUUAAUGCAUGAAUCCUACCUCCAGAUUCUGAUAGAAUUGGCCUGGGUGAGGCCUGGACACCAGAAUUUCUCUCUCCUUUUCUGUAUCCCCUUGUCAACUCCUACCCUGAAAUGUAAGUAUUUUCUAAAGUUCUGUCCUUACCUCUCAUCUUUCUCUGUAUUUUAUGUGUAUUUCUCUUCUCACUCAUUCCCACAUCUUUACACCACUUCUUUGGAGAUCACCCCAAAUCCGUUUGAAUUCCUGAUCUGUUCAUCCAGCUUUCUUUUGUUUUUCUAUACCUGGAACAAUGCUUAGCUCUAAUACAUUCUCGGUCCCAAACUCAACGUCUUGCCCUGCUGCACUUCUAUUCCUUGGUGUUUCAAUAUCUGUAAUGUAAAAACCUUCCAUUAUCCUAUCACCAAGGCUCAAAAUCUUAGUGUUAUCUUGGUGUGAUGAUUUUUAAAAUUAACAUGAGAGUGUUAAUACAUAACCUUUCUGCCAUAACAUAAACCUCUCUACCACCCACCCAUAAAGAAAAUACUGUCUUUGAUAGCUUUGCUACAUCUGCCCUUUAAGGAGAGUUCUGCCCUUUCCAGGAUGGCCCCUAGGCUUCAUGAUUCAAAAUGAGGAGACUGGAUAAACGGAAACAGGACUGCAGAGGCAGAAGGAAAGGAAGAGGGAAACAAAAGACAAGGUCCUCAUAGGCUGAAAUUGUUGAGUUUCCAGGCAGGAGAAACGGAGAGUGAGGGGUUAAGAUAAUGAGAAGUUCCAGAGCUAAUAAGAUGUAAGAAUUACUGAAAAGAAAAUGAAGUUGAAUGGUUCCUAAGGCUUAUGAAUUGCAUGCUUUUUAAUGGUCUUGGAGAAUGGCAGGCAAAAUAUUGAACUACUUUUAACAUAGUUUUGGUUACUAGAAGGCUUUUUCAGUGUAUUAUUGCUCAGAUACUGGACGUUACAUCUAGGUUACACAAGACACCUCCCUCUCACUCAUUUGCCAUAUCUAAACAGUUGUUAAUCCCUGUGAUUUUUUUUUCCCUUCCAGCCCUAUCACUCUGUACUGCCUGUACAAAACCAUACAUACCAGCUACACCUCCUCAGCUCUCAAACUUUCUUUUCUUUGGACAUUGGCCCAUUCUGUUUCCUAUACCCAGAAUCACUGCCCAUUUCCAUUGUUUUAAGCACUUUCUAUGCUUCAAUGCCAGCUCAGAUUCUACCUUCUUGAGGAGACCUUUCCUGUUGAUGCUUUACACAUUCUACAUUCCUUCCUGCCCCUGCACAUGCAAUUUUCCGAAACAACAAUAAUAAUGAUUACACCAAUCACUAACAUUAUAUUGGGCUCAUUAUGCCCAGACACUGUUCUAAGUACUUUGCACAUAUUAUUUAAUUCUUACAACAACCUUUUGAGGUAAUACUGUGAGAACUAAAAUAGGGUAAGUUCCCCAAGGUUACAACAGCUAUAACUGUCACAGAUAAGGUUUGAAUCCAAGUCCCAAAGCCUGCAUUAUUUCUAUAGUGUACUUGUACUUUAAUACCCCAAUACAUGCCUGAUAUAUCCUUGUCAUUUCUCUAUAUCUAAAGUUUUCAUUCAUUCCUGCUUUACAUUGUGCAUCUCCCCCCAUUCAACACUAUCAAAUAAAUGCUUAUGCUUCGUUGUCAUCAGAUUUACAUAGUCACUUAAUAGUUUCCACUGGUAUCCAAAUAGAAGACAGCAGCAUGUGAAUGAUCAGGAUUUUGACUUACAGAGAUCCACUUUAGGUUGAAGUCUUCAGGGGCACUUAAUCUAAGAGCAGGGAGCAUGUGUUUAUAAAUCUUACCUUUGAGUUUUAUCUUCUUCCUCAUAAUGUCUUUGAGGU